rnacentral:rRNA from 1 species
ACGGGAGGCAGCAGUGGGGAAUAUUGCACAAUGGGGGAAACCCUGAUGCAGCGACGCCGCGUGAGUGAAGAAGUAUUUCGGUAUGUAAAGCUCUAUCAGCAGGGAAGAAAACAAUGACGGUACCUGACUAAGAAGCCCCGGCUAACUACGUGCCAGCAGCCGCGGUAAUACGUAGGGGGCAAGCGUUAUCCGGAUUUACUGGGUGUAAAGGGAGCGUAGACGGUAGACCAAGUCUGAAGUGAAAGCCCAGAGCUCAACCCUGGAACUGCUUUGGAAACUGGUAAACUAGAGUGCAGGAGAGGUAAGUGGAAUUCCUAGUGUAGCGGUGAAAUGCGUAGAUAUUAGGAGGAACACCAGUGGCGAAGGCGGCUUACUGGACUGUAACUGACGUUGAGGCUCGAAAGCGUGGGGAGCAAACAGGAUUAGAUACCCUGGUA